GGGGGGGACGACCCCUUUAAAUCCCUAGCUAGCGUGCCAAUCUUCAGAUAAUUCAUUUACCGUUCACACUUUUCGUCCAUUCCAAUUUAAGCGCGCGUGCAUUUUAAAACAUCUGCUGUACGCCUCAACACACCAGCUUUCAGAGAAAUAUCUUUUAUUUUUGUUAUUUAUUUUUGUUCCUUACACAGAAGUACAGCAUAUGAACAUUUUAUUAUUAUUAUUAUUAUUUUUUUUUUUUACAAGGAAACAUUUCUUUAAAUAAAAACAUUCAGGCCAAAAUGCAAAGGAUAAAAGGCAUCUAAAGUGUUUCUGUCGUACGGUUAUGUAUACACAGCGACGUGUGCGCGCACGGGACGCGUCCGUAAAGGCGUGAAUAAAGCUCGAAUAAAACUCUAAAAAGCGUGCGAUGGAAGGAAAAGCGACGACGUGGCCGUGUCCAAACACCAAACCAGCUCCCUUUCGUUGACCCGCGUCUACCCUUCUUGUUUUUUUUUUCUUUGCUAAACGCUUACGAUAAUCAGCAUUAACUCUCUGAACUACAAUCAUAUACGGUUUUCUAGCUGGGCGGAUUGAUUUAUUUAUUUAUUUAUGUAUUUAUUUAUUUAUUUCCGGUCAUCUGAGCGACCCACACAAAGUAAAAACAUGAAGAAAGACAGAACUGUAAAAACCUUCAGCCUUUCCGAUCACAGAUUUGGUUCGUCAGCUUUAACAGUGUCGCCAUCGAUGCGUCGGCUCACGUUCUAAUCGCAGUAUUAAACGUCACGUCACGUUUCCGUGUACGGACCUCCUCGGAGUUUUACACCGCGGAUGAGAUGAAUCCGUUUUUAAAAGAAAACUUCCGAGUGACACUCGGGCUGGGUGAUGGGACAAAAAUAUGCCGACGGCUACUAAUCGAUUAAAUCCAGCGAGACGAUAUUUAAUCAAAAAAAAAAAGUUAGCAAAAAAAUAAAAAAAUUUAAAAAAUUGUGAGACCGAAGUUGCGUACAGAGUAACGUAUCGUAAUAACGGUGUGGUGGUAUUAUCGAAUCACCCGCCGUUAGAAGAAGCUACCAGAACUCGUAUAUAUCCGAUACCGCGAUCCUCGCCGUAACCAUGACAACGAGAUGGGUUGCUAAAUUUACCUCAAAGUUCACAAGAUUGAUACACUUCGAUGUUUACUUACUGGUGUGGUCAAAGCGCUACGCAAAAAAUUUUGUUUAUUAAUUUAAAAUUCG
ensembl:lncRNA